rnacentral:rRNA from 1 species
GACGAACGCUGGCGGCGUGCUUAACGCAUGCAAGUCGAACGGAAAGGCCCUGCUUUUGUGGGGUGCUCGAGUGGCGAACGGGUGAGUAACACGUGAGUAACCUGCCCUUGACUUUGGGAUAACUUCAGGAGACUGGGGCUAAUACCGGAUAGGAGCUCCUGCUGCAUGGUGGGGGUUGGAAAGUUUCGGCGGUUGGGGAUGGACUCGCGGCUUAUCAGCUUGUUGGUGGGGUAGUGGCUUACCAAGGCUUUGACGGGUAGCCGGCCUGAGAGGGUGACCGGCCACAUUGGGACUGAGAUACGGCCCAGACUCCUACGGGAGGCAGCAGUGGGGAAUAUUGCACAAUGGGCGGAAGCCUGAUGCAGCAACGCCGCGUGCGGGAUGACGGCCUUCGGGUUGUAAACCGCUUUCGCCUGUGACGAAGCGUGAGUGACGGUAAUGGGUAAAGAAGCACCGGCUAACUACGUG